rnacentral:rRNA from 1 species
GAUGAACGCUGGCGGCGUGCCUAAUACAUGCAAGUCGAGCGAACAGACGAGGAGCUUGCUCCUCUGACGUUAGCGGCGGACGGGUGAGUAACACGUGGAUAACCUACCUAUAAGACUGGGAUAACUUCGGGAAACCGGAGCUAAUACCGGAUAAUAUAUUGAACCGCAUGGUUCAAUAGUGAAAGACGGUUUUGCUGUCACUUAUAGAUGGAUCCGCGCCGCAUUAGCUAGUUGGUAAGGCAACGGCUUACCAAGGCAACGAUGCGUAGCCGACCUGAGAGGGUGAUCGGCCACACUGGAACUGAGACACGGUCCAGACUACUACGGGAGGCAGCAGUAGGGAAUCUGCCGCAAUGGGCGAAAGCCUGACGGAGCAACGCCGCGUGAGUGAUGAAGGUCUUCGGAUCGUAAAACUCUGUUAUUAGGGAAGAACAAAUGUGUAAGUAACUAUGCACGUCUUGACGGUACCUAAUCAGAAAGCCACGGCUAACUACGUG